rnacentral:rRNA from 1 species
GAUGAACGCUGGCGGCGUGCCUAAUACAUGCCAGUCGAGCGAACAGAUGAGGAGCUUGCUCCUCUGACGUUAGCGGCGGACGGGUGAGUAACACGUGGAUAACCUACCUAUAAGACUGGGAUAACUUCGGGAAACCGGAGCUAAUACCGGAUAAUAUAUUGAACCGCAUGGUCCAAUAGUGAAAGACGGUUUUGCUGUCACUUAUAGAUGGAUCCGCGCCGCAUUAGCUAGUUGGUAAGGUAACGGCUUACCAAGGCAACGAUGCGUAGCCGACCUGAGAGGGUGAUCGGCCACACUGGAACUGAGACACGGUCCAGACUCCUACGGGAGGCAGCAGUAGGGAAUCUUCCGCAAUGGGCGAAAGCCUGACGGAGCAACGCCGCGUGAGUGAUGAAGGUCUUCGGAUCGUAAAACUCUGUUAUUAGGGAAGAACAAAUGUGUAAGUAACUAUGCACGUCUUGACGGUACCUAAUCAGAAAGCCACGGCUAACUACGUG